rnacentral:rRNA from 1 species
AGUAAUGCUUAGGAAUCUGCCAUUUAGUGGGGGACAACAUUCCGAAAGGAAUGCUAAUACCGCAUACGUCCUACGGGAGAAAGCAGGGGAUCUUCGGACCUUGCGCUAAAUGAUGAGCCUAAGUCGGAUUAGCUAGUUGGUGGGGUAAAGGCCUACCAAGGCGACGAUCUGUAGCGGGUCUGAGAGGAUGAUCCGCCACACUGGGACUGAGACACGGCCCAGACUCCUACGGGAGGCAGCAGUGGGGAAUAUUGGACAAUGGGCGGAAGCCUGAUCCAGCCAUGCCGCGUGUGUGAAGAAGGCCUUUUGGUUGUAAAGCACUUUAAGCGAGGAGGAGGCUCUCCUAGU